rnacentral:rRNA from 1 species
UCUGGGAUAAGCCUGGGAAACUGGGUCUAAUACCGGAUAUGACUUCUCAUCGCAUGGUGGGGGGUGGAAAGCUUUUGUGGUUUUGGAUGGACUCGCGGCCUAUCAGCUUGUUGGUGGGGUAAUGGCCUACCAAGGCACGACGGGUAGCCGGCCUGAGAGGGUGACCGGCCACACUGGGACUGAGACACGGCCCAGACUCCUACGGGAGGCAGCAGUGGGGAAUAUUGCACAAUGGGCGCAAGCCUGAUGCAGCGACGCCGCGUGAGGGAUGACGGCCUUCGGGUUGUAAACCUCUUUCAGUAGGGAAGAAGCCCUCUUUUGGGGGUGACGGUACUUGCAGAAGAAGCGCCGGCUAACUACGUGCCAGCAGCCGCGGUAAUACGUAGGGCGCAAGCGUUAUCCGGAAUUAUUGGGCGUAAAGAGCUCGUAGGCGGUUUGUCGCGUCUGCUG